GCCACAUUAUACACUGCCCUGCAGCAGGAUCCAGACAGCUGUGUGGGGGAGAGUUUGAGUGACAGGCAGCGAGCGAAGCUGGCCGAGUCAAUGGAUGCAGUGCGGAGACAGAUCCUGCGGCAGAGUCGCCAUGCCGACACGCUCGUCCUACAACAGCGCAUGGAGCUCCUCCAGUCUGCGCAGCAGAGGAUCAGAGAACUUGAAGAUAAGAUUGACAUGCAGAGAAGACAAAUCAAAGAGAUUGAAGAGAAGUUUUUGUUCCUUUUCUUGUUUUUCUCCCUAGCUUUUAUUCUCUGGCCUUAAAACCCACACACACACACACACAUCAUAUUCUCUCUCUAUAUCUCUUUCUGUCUCUCACUGUCUUUCU